ACGGGAGGCAGCAGUGGGGAAUCUUCCGCAAUGGGCGAAAGCCUGACGGAGCAACGCCGCGUGAGUGAAGAAGGUUUUCGGAUCGUAAAGCUCUGUUGUCGGGGACGAGAAAGCGCCUCAGGAAAUGGGGGCGCCAGGACGGUACCCGGCGAGAAAGCCACGGCUAACUACGUGCCAGCAGCCGCGGUAAUACGUAGGUGGCGAGCGUUGUCCGGAAUUAUUGGGCGUAAAGGGAGCGCAGGUGGGAAAGCAAGUCAGUCUUAAAAGUGCGGGGCUCAACCCCGUGAUGGGAUUGAAACUGCUUUUCUUGAGUGCAGGAGAGGAAAGCGGAAUUCCUAGUGUAGCGGUGAAAUGCGUAGAUAUUAGGAGGAACACCAGUGGCGAAGGCGGCUUUCUGGACUGUAACUGACACUGAGGCUCGAAAGCGUGGGGAGCGAACAGGAUUAGAUACCCUGGUA
rnacentral:rRNA from 1 species